UGGAUAUCUGCCUUUUGGUUCGGAAUAACCCCGGGAAACUGGGGCUAAUACCGGAUGGUUCCUUCGGGAUAAAGAUUUAUCGCCAAAAGAUGAGUCCGCGUCCGAUUAGCUAGUUGGUGAGGUAAUGGCUCACCAAGGCGACGAUCGGUAGCUGGUCUGAGAGGACGACCAGCCACACUGGGACUGAGACACGGCCCAGACUCCUACGGGAGGCAG
rnacentral:rRNA from 1 species